rnacentral:rRNA from 1 species
AUUGAACGCUGGCGGAAUGCUUUACACAUGCAAGUCGAACGAUGAACCUUAGCUUGCUAAGGGGAUUAGUGGCGAACGGGUGAGUAGUGUAUCGGAACGUAUCCAAUAAUGGGGGAUAACUAGUCGAAGGAUUAGCUAAUACCGCAUACGUCCUACGGGAGAAAGCUAGGGACCUUCGGGCCUGGCGUUAAUGGAGCGGCCGAUAUCUGAUUAGCUAGUUGGUGGGGUAAAGGCUCACCAAGGCGACGAUCAGUAGCUGGUCUGAGAGGACGACCAGCCACACUGGAACUGAGACACGGUCCAGACUCCUACGGGAGGCAGCAGUGGGGAAUUUUGGACAAUGGGCGAAAGCCUGAUCCAGCCAUUCCGCGUGAGUGAAGAAGGCCUUCGGGUUGUAAAGCUCUUUCGCAAGAGAAGAAAACUUAAGCUCUAACAUAGCUUGAGGUUGACGGUACCUUGAUAAGAAGCACCGGCUAACUACGUGCCAGCCGCCGCAGUAA